ensembl:misc_RNA Metazoa_SRP Metazoan signal recognition particle RNA
AGGCAUGGUAGCGUGUGCCUGUAGUCCCAGCUAUUCGGGAAGCUGAGGUGGGAGCAUUGCUUGAGCCCAGGAGUUCUGGGCUGUAGUGUGCUAUGCCGAUUGGGUGUCCGAACUAAGUUUGGCAUCAAUAUGGUGACCUCCUGGGAUCAGGGGACCACCAGGUUGCCUAAGGAGGGGUGAACCGGCCCAGGUUGGAAAUGAAGCAGGUCAAAAUUCCUGUGCUGAUCAGUAGUGGGAUUGCGCCUGUGAAUAGCCACUGCACUCCAGCCUAAGCAACAUAGUGAGACUGCGUCUCUG